CUACGGGUCGCUCCAGUGAGGAAUAUUGCACAAUGGGGGGAAUCCUGAUGCAGCAACGCCGCGUGGAGGAUGACGCAUUUCGGUGUGUAAACUCCUUUUAUAUGUCAAGAAAAUGACGGUAGCAUAUGAAUAAGCACCGGCUAACUCCGUGCCAGCAGCCGCGGUAAUACGGAGGGUGCAAGCGUUACUCGGAAUCACUGGGCGUAAAGGACGCGUAGGCGGGUUGGAAAGUCAGGUGUGAAAUCCUACAGCUUAACUGUAGAACUGCACUUGAAACUUCUAAUCUAGAGUAUGGGAGGGGGAGAUGGAAUUAGUGGUGUAGGGGUAAAAUCCGUAGAUAUCACUAGGAAUACCUAAAGCGAAGGCGAUCUCCUGGAACAUUACUGACGCUAAGGCGUGAAAGCGUGGGAAGCAAACAGGAUUAGAUACCCUAGUAGUC
rnacentral:rRNA from 1 species